GACGAACGCUGGCGGCGUGCCUAAUACAUGCAAGUCGAGCGAGCGGCGGACGGGUGAGUAAUGUAUGGGGACUGCCCGAUAGAGGGGGAUAACUACUGGAAACGGUGGCUAAUACCGCAUACUAUCGGAUAACCCAUAUGGGAUUAGCUAGUAGGCGGGGUAAAGGCUCACCUAGGCGACGAUCUCUAGCUGGUCUGAGAGGAUGAUCGGCAACACUGGAAGUGGAACAGGGCCCAGACUCCUACGGAGGCAGCAGUGGGGAAUAUUGCACAAUGGGCGAAGGCCUGAUGCAGCCAUGCCGCGUGUAUGAAGAAGGCCUUAGGGUUGUAAAGUACUUUCAGCGGGGAGGCGUUACCCGCAGAAGAAGCACCGGCUAACUCCGUGCCAGCAGCCGCGGUAAUAC
rnacentral:rRNA from 1 species